rnacentral:rRNA from 1 species
GCCUACGGGAGGCAGCAGUAGGGAAUUUUGCGCAAUGGGCGAAAGCCUGACGCAGCAACACCGCGUGAAUGUUAAGCCCUUCGGGGUGUAAAGUUCUGUCAAUAGGGACGAAUUUUGACUGUACCUAUAAAGGAAGCACCGGCUAACUCCGUGCCAGCAGCCGCGGUAAUACGUAGGGGGCAAGCGUUAUCCGGAUUUACUGGGUGUAAAGGGAGCGUAGGCGGCAAGGUAAGCCAGAAGUGAAAGCCCGCGGCUCAACUGCGGGACUGCUUUUGGAACUAUCUAGCUAGAUUGCAGGAGAGGUA